rnacentral:lncRNA from 1 species
GGGGAACAUCUGCCAAUUUUGCACAAUCAUCUGCCAGAAAUUCCAAGCAACCACAGAGAAAGGAUGUAAUGGAAGGAUGGAAAGGUAUUGAGCCAAGAUCCAGAAUUCUAAUCACAGAGAGAAGACAUGCAUGUAACAGGCCGUGUAAAACAGACACAGCCCUGGAGCCUCAUCUCCCUGAGUCCUUGCUGUUCUCAGAGAAGGAAAAAUCACUUCGAGCUUCAGUUGGUGUCUUUUACAUCCAAGAAUCUGGAUGGGAAUUGGAGCACAGAGUUUUUCCUUGGGAGGAAACAGGGAUAUAUGUCAACAUAUCAACUGCUUUGUCACAUUCUUUGCUAACGCCAAUGUCAUCAGAAUUUAAAAAGCUGAAGUGAGGAAUUGCGUUUUGGAAUGAAAGCCACGUGAGCAGUAAGGGCAGCCAGCCAGAACCUUCCGGGGAAGUGAAUGAAAGCAGAACUGUGGUGGAAGAGUUUAAAUCCCCUUUACAGUUCCCGUCAUCCUCCCCCAUUUCCCAGCCUCUAGGGCCGACUGGAACAAAGGUGGUGUCAUAUUCCCUGGGCACACUGCCUGCCACUGCACUUUUGUUUUUUCCAGUUUUUUUUUUUUUUUUUUUUCUUUAGAGCAGUUUUAGGUUCACAGUAAAAUUGAGAGGAAGGUACAGAGACUUCUUUCCUAUAUACUCCCUGCCCCAACACAGUCACAACCUCCCCCAUGACCAGCACUCCCCACCAGAGCAGUGCAUGUGUUACAUCGGCACAUCGUUAUCAUCCAAAGUCCACAGUUUACACUUGGGUUCAUUCUUACUGUUGUCCAUUCCACGGUUUGGACAAAUAUAUGAUAACAUGUAUCCUCCAUUAUAAUAUUACACAGAAUAGCUUCUUCCACUGCUCUUAAAAUCCUCUCUGGUCUGCCUAUUCAACCCUCUCUUCUGACCUCUGACCUCCAUUGAUGUUUUCAUUGUCUCCACAGUUUUGCCUUUUCCAGAAGAUUCUACAGUUGGAAUCAUGCAGUAUGGACCCUUAUUGGAUUGGCUUCUUUCACUUAGUCAUGAGCAUUUAAGUUUCCCUGUGUCUUUUCAUGACUUGAAAUGAUAGCUCAUUUCCUGCCACCAUACUUUUAGUGUAAGCACCAAGUUUUCAUUCUUCCUGCCCCCACCUUGACAAAGCAUACAUCUUAGAAUCAUUUCCUUGCCACCAACUUCCCCUGUGUGGGUGAGAGAAAAUCAGAUUACACACCAAAGUCUAAACAUCGUGCUUCUCCACUGGUUUCCUGGUACCCAGUGUCCUCCUGGGCUUCGAGAUUUCCUGUUUGAAAACCAAAUGUGUUUGCCACCUUGUGGUCUGUAUUUUUAAAUUUGUUUUUAGCCAGAUAUUGUUAUCAAUAAAUUCAUUGCCUAGGGCCG